rnacentral:rRNA from 1 species
AUUGAACGCUGGCGGCAUGCCUUACACAUGCAAGUCGAACGGUAACGGGCCUUCGGGUGCCGACGAGUGGCGAACGGGUGAGUAAUGCAUCGGAACGUACCUUUCAGUGGGGGAUAACGUAGCGAAAGUUACGCUAAUACCGCAUAUUCUGUGAGCAAGAAAGCAGGGGAUCGCAAGACCUUGCGCUGAUUGAGCGGCCGAUAUCAGAUUAGCUAGUUGGUGAGGUAAGGGCUCACCAAGGCGACGAUCUGUAGCGGGUCUGAGAGGAUGAUCCGCCACACUGGAACUGAGACACGGUCCAGACUCCUACGGGAGGCAGCAGUGGGGAAUUUUGGACAAUGGGGGCAACCCUGAUCCAGCCAUGCCGCGUGAGUGAAGAAGGCCUUCGGGUUGUAAAGCUCUUUCGGCCGGGAAGAAAUCGUAUCAGCUAAUACCUGGUGCGGAUGACGGUACCGGCAUAGAAGCACCGGCUAACUACGUGCCAGCCGCCGCCGUAAUAC